rnacentral:rRNA from 1 species
UGGGAAUUUGGACAAUGGGCGAAGCCUGAUCCAGCAAUGCCGCGUGUGUGAAGAAGGCCUUCGGGUUGUAAAGCACUUUUGUCCGGAAAGAAAUCCUUGGCUCUAAUACAGUCGGGGGAUGACGGUACCGGAAGAAUAAGCACCGGCUAACUACGUGCCAGCAGCCGCGGUAAUACGUAGGGUGCAAGCGUUAAUCGGAAUUACUGGGCGUAAAGCGUGCGCAGGCGGUUUGCUAAGACCGAUGUGAAAUCCCCGGGCUCAACCUGGGAACUGCAUUGGUGACUGGCAGGCUAGAGUAUGGCAGAGGGGGGUAGAAUUCCACGUGUAGCAGUGAAAUGCGUAGAGAUGUGGAGGAAUACCGAUGGCGAAGGCAGCCCCCUGGGCCAAUACUGACGCUCAUGCACGAAAGCGUGGGGAGCAAACAGGAUUAGAUACCCUGGUAGUCCACGCCCUAAACGAUGUCAACUAGUUGUUGGGGAUUCAUUUCCUAGUAACGUAGCUAACGCGUGAAGUUGACCGCCUGGGGAGUACGGUCGCAAGAUUAAAACUUAAAUGAAUUGACGGGGUCAU